rnacentral:rRNA from 1 species
CACGUAGGGCGCAAGCGUUGUCCGGAAUUAUUGGGCGUAAAGAGCUCGUAGGCGGUCUGUUGCGUCCGCUGUGAAAACCCGGGGCUUAACCCUGGGCUGGCAGUGGAUACGGGCAGACUAGAGGUAGGUAGGGGAGAAUGGAAUUCCCGGUGUAGCGGUGAAAUGCGCAGAUAUCGGGAGGAACACCGGUGGCGAAGGCGGUUCUCUGGGCCUUACCUGACGCUGAGGAGCGAAAGCGUGGGGAGCGAACAGG